AUGAAGCCAUCAGGCAUCAUGUCGUCCUCUUUUUCCAGCCACCUUGCUCCACUGCUUGUGCUCUUGCUGCACCAAGCUCAUCUGCUUGUAGCGAACAAACUCACAGGAGGGUCGACUCUCAGGCCACCGAACUACAUCACCUGCUUGUCCGGGGAGUAUGCCUUCGGCUUCCGUGCCCUCGGCAAUGACCCUAGCCGGUUCCUCCUUGCCGUCUGGUUCAACUUCAACCUCUCCCAGGCGGCUGACCCUGCGGAGCAGAGGGUGGUGUGGUAUGCGAAAGACCCAGACUCAGGCUCCGCCAUCACGGUCACAGGGCUAUCCGUAUUCAGCAUCAAUGGCCAGCUCUUCCUCGCCGACACAAAUAGCAGCAGCAUCUGGAGGAACCCGAACCCAAGCAACGAGUACGGCUCUGACCUCGUGCUCCAGGACUCAGGGAACCUCCAGUUCCUCGCCUAUGCGGGCAGCACCGUCAUGUGGGAGAGCUUUCAGUAUCCAACCGAUACGCUCCUCCCGGGGCAGUCUAUGGGCUCUGGAGCAGCCCUUCAGUCCAAGCGCACGGACACGGAUUUCUCUCGUGGCCGCUUCGGCCUGUACAUGCAGGCCGAUGGCAACAUUGUCUUGUACCUCAUGAACCAUGCUACCAGCAAUCUGGACCCAUCCAACGCUUAUUGGGUGACGGGCACCUACCAAUCCGGCAACACCCAAGACGGCAACACGACUCUUUUCUUCAACUCGCCGGGGCAUCUCUACUACCAUAUCAAGGACGGCAUGGUGCAUGACCUGAUACCUCCACUUCCAAACUCCACCAUCAGUUAUCACCAACACGCAACGCUUGAUCCUGACGGCAUUGUCCGGGUCUACACCCGGCCGAAGAAUGCCCCCGGGGGAAGGAGCAACGGGUCGUGGGCAGUCACUGGCCUAUUCCCAAGUGAAGGUUGCAGCAGGAGCAGCACUUUGCAAGGUUUGUGCGGCCCCAACUCCUACUGUGUCUAUGGUCCAAACGACCGUCUCGAUUGCAAGUGUCCAAGCGGCUACACUUUCCUUGAUGUGCAGCUCAAGUACAUAGGAUGCACGCAGGAGUUUGUACCACAAAGCUGUCAUGGGAACAGCCACUCCGCCGAGUUUGGGGUUGUCAAGAUGCCAAACACCACUUGGAAAAACUCGGUGUACGAAAGACAUUUGUGCACCACAGACGACCAGUGUGGAGACUUCUGCUUGAGCGACUGCCUGUGCACAGCGGCUCUAUUUGAUGGAACUUACUGUGCUAAGAUGGCGUCGUUGACAGAUGCCGGGCGGCAGGAAGAAAAUGUCACCAUGAAGGCAUUGAUCAAGGUGAGGAUAAGCAGCCCCUCGGUGCCGGCAUCGCCGAGAAGGAUAUUGCUUCAUGCACUACUCGGUUGCUCCGCAUUCCUGUUGCUGUUGGCAGCAGGUAGCCUCAUGUUGCAUUACUACCUUAGGAAGAAGAACACCGACCAUGACUUUGUGAGGGCUUACACCGCAAAAGAGCUUUACAAAGCCACCAAUGGCUUUCAUAAGUUUCUAGGCAGAGGAGGCUUUGGCGAGGUCUACCAUGGGGUGUUGAAGUUGCUACACUACCCAGAGAUAGCAGUGAAGAAGCUCAUCAGCUCCAAUGAUUACAGCGAGAGGGAGUUCACGAAUGAGGUACAGUCCAUCGGCCAGAUCCACCAUAGGAACCUAGUCCGCAUGGUUGGUUACUGCAAAGAGAAGGAGCAACGGAUGUUGGUGUUCGAGUUCAUGCCAGGUGGUUCCCUUCGGAGCUUCCUAUUCCAGCCUCAGCAGCAACCGAUGUGGAGUUGGCGCGCUGAAGCAGCCCUUGGCAUUGCAAAGGGCCUGGAGUACUUGCAUGAAGGAUGCAAUUAUCCAGUCAUCCACUGUGACAUCAAGCCCGACAAUAUAUUGUUAGAUAACAAGAAAAAUCCAAAGAUUACUGACUUUGGGAUUGCCAGGCUUCUUAGUGACCAGCAGAUGCACACCACGGUGACCAAUGUCAGGGGCACAAGGGGCUACAUUGCCCCCGAGUGGUUCCAAAGCGACAGGCGCAUCGACACCAAGGUUGAUGUGUACAGCUUCGGUGUUGUGCUGCUUGAGAUGAUAUGCUGCCGAAAGUCCCAGGAGCCGGUGCCUGAUCAGGAUGGUGACGACUCGGUCAUGCUAUUCGAGUGGGCGGGUCAGUUGGUUGGUGAUGGCAGGACUGAGGUUUUGUUUCAUAGCAAUGAUGACGCCAUUGUGGAUUUGGUCAGAGUGGAGAGGUUCUUGCGUGUUGCUCUCUCGUGCAUUGAGCAGAAUCCUUCGCUCCGCCCUACAAUGCACCAGGUGGUGCAGAUGCUGGAGGGUGUGAUUGAGGUCGACACUCUACCUGCUCCUACAAGCUCCAACUGUUCGUCGCCGUUUGCCUCUUCAGUCGACGCGAGCCCUCUGUUGUCAGGUGGUGCUACUCUUGCGAUACAGUGA
rnacentral:rRNA from 1 species